rnacentral:rRNA from 1 species
CGGCAGCACAGAGAAACUUGUUUCUCGGGUGGCGAGCGGCGGACGGGUGAGUAAUGCCUGGGAAAUUGCCCUGAUGUGGGGGAUAACCAUUGGAAACGAUGGCUAAUACCGCAUGAUAGCUUCGGCUCAAAGAGGGGGACCUUCGGGCCUCUCGCGUCAGGAUAUGCCCAGGUGGGAUUAGCUAGUUGGUGAGGUAAUGGCUCACCAAGGCGACGAUCCCUAGCUGGUCUGAGAGGAUGAUCAGCCACACUGGAACUGAGACACGGUCCAGACUCCUACGGGAGGCAGCAGUGGGGAAUAUUGCACAAUGGGCGCAAGCCUGAUGCAGCCAUGCCGCGUGUGUGAAGAAGGCCUUCGGGUUGUAAAGCACUUUCAGUCGUGAGGAAGGUGGUAGUGUUAAUAGCACUAUCAUUUGACGUUAGCGACAGAAGAAGCACCGGCUAACUCCGUGCCAGCAGCCGCGGUAAUACGGAGGGUGCGAGCGUUAAUCGGAAUUACUGGGCGUAAAGCGCGUGCAGGUGGUUUGUUAAGUCAGAUGUGAAAGCCCGGGGCUCAACCUCGGAAUAGCAUUUGAAACUGGCAAGCUAGAGUACUGUAGAGGGGGGUAGAAUUUCAGGUGU